rnacentral:rRNA from 1 species
UCCCUGUCGCCAGGUGGCUUCCCUUUGUCCACGCCAUUGUAACACGUGUGUCGCCCCGGAUGUAAGGGCCGUGCUGAUUUGACGUCAUCCCCGCCUUCCUCGCAGCUUACGCUGGCAGUCCCACCAGAGUCCUCAGCUUUACCUGUUAGUAACUAGUGGCAAGGGUUGCGCUCGUUAUGGCACUUAAGCCGACACCUCACGGCACGAGCUGACGACAACCAUGCAGCACCUCGCAAAUGGCUAUUGCUAGAAAAUGUGUUUCCACAUCGGUCCAAAUGCGUUCAAACCCGGGUAAGGUUCCUCGCGUAUCAUCGAAUUAAACCACAUGUUCCUCCGCUUGUGCGGGCCCCCGUCAAUUCCUUUGAGUUUCACCGUUGCCGGCGUACUCCCCAGGUGGAUCACUUAACGCUUUCGCUGUGCCGCUUACAGUGUAUCGCAAACAGCUAGUGAUCAUCGUUUACUGCGUGGACUACCAGGGUAUCUAAUCCUGUUUGAUCCCCACGCUUUCGUGCAUCAGCGUCAGUAAUGGCUUGGCAGGCUGCCUUCGCAAUCGGGGUUCUGCGUGAUAUCUAUGCAUUUCACCGCUACACCACGCAUUCCGCCUGCCUCAAACAUACUCAAGCCYCCCAGUUUCAACGGCAAUUCUAUGGUUGAGCCACAGACUUUCACCGCUGACUUAAAAGGCCGCCUACGCACCCUUUAAACCCAAUAAAUCCGGAUAACGCUCGGAUCCUCCGUAUUACCGCGGCUGCUGGCACGGAGUUAGCCGAUCCUUAUUCAUAAGGUACAUACAAAACGGGACACGUCCCGCACUUUAUUCCCUUAUAAAAGAGGUUUACGAUCCAUAGAACCUUCAUCCCUCACGCGACUUGGCUGGUUCAGGCUUACGCCCAUUGACCAAUAUUCCUCACUGCUGCCUCCCGUAGGAGUUUGGUCCGUGUCUCAGUACCAAUGUGGGGGACCUUCCUCUCAGAACCCCUAUCCAUCGUCGGUUUGGUGGGCCGUUACCCCGCCAACUGCCUAAUGGAACGCAUGCC